AACGAACGCUGGCGGCAUGCCUAACACAUGCAAGUCGAACGAGGCCUUCGGGUCUAGUGGCGCACGGGUGCGUAACGCGUGGGAAUCUGCCCUUGGGUUCGGAAUAACAGUUAGAAAUGACUGCUAAUACCGGAUGAUGUCUUCGGACCAAAGAUUUAUCGCCCAAGGAUGAGCCCGCGUCGGAUUAGCUAGUUGGGAGGGUAAAAGCCUACCAAGGCGACGAUCCGUAGCUGGUCUGAGAGGAUGAUCAGCCACACUGGGACUGAGACACGGCCCAGACUCCUACGGGAGGCAGCAGUGGGGAAUAUUGGACAAUGGGCGAAGGCCUGAUCCAGCAAUGCCGCGUGAGUGAUGAAGGCCUUAGGGUUGUAAAGCUCUUUUACCCGGGAUGAUAAUGACAGUACCGGGAGAAUAAGCCCCGGCUAACUCCGUGCCAGCAGCCGCCGUAACAC
rnacentral:rRNA from 1 species